CGCGUCCUCUUGGCAUCGCUCAUCCCUCCGUCAAGACGCGUCAAUCUGGCGACCUCGACCCCCCAUGGCUGUGUACUACAGCCAACUCUGGCUGACCAACUUCCGAUGCGCCCCAGGUGUUCGUGGUAAUGCUCUAAUCACGCCUCGUCAAUUGAUCAACAAAAUUCCGUCUGUAGCUCCGCCACUGCAGCGUGGCUUCGGUGGAGCAAUGUGCCAAUAAAAAUAGGAACCUGUGGCCUGCGCCAUAGGCUGUGGUGCCGAACCUUGUUUGCUGCCUUUAGCGUCUCCUUCCUGUCAUAGAUUUGCUCUGGAACCGCAGUGCGUUCGUCGAUUUCGUGGCGCCAAGCUUCAUCACGCUGAUGAGGUACACACUUCCUUUUUAUUUCUAACGACAAAUAUACACGCUUCCGUUCUCUCAACUGAUAUGAUACGUUCUUGUAGUACUUGACUAGUUGAUAUGAAUUAUUAAUAAUUGGACAAUCAAAAUCCAGGGCUAUCCCCCUGCGUACUUGCCGCUACGUUGUAAUCAUUUUCUGUAAUUCUCAAUAGCAUGCCACUGUCUGCACAUUUGAUUCUUAGACUUUGUCUUGUCCAGAGUGUAUGGAACUAUCAUAUGAAUGCUUUAUUUCAGAAGAUCCUUUGGGGCAAAAAGGGUGGAAAUGUAAAAGUAACAUAAUAUUUUGGUAGGCCAUAUACAUAUAUUUCCACAUGAAUGGUAAGAAUACAGAUGAUACAACUGACGCUUCUUUCUUUGAUGGUUGUUGAUGAAUCUCUUCAAAAAUUACUAUUUACUUUUCUCCUAAGUCACAUUCUUACAUGGUGAACAAGAUAAUAAUGUCCAAGUAUCUAUUAUACUCCAGCCGCUCGUCCUAACCUUUCCCUUAAGAUCUUCACUCCCAUGUAUCUGCAUGUCAAACGCGGGAAAGAAAGAUCAAACCCUGGAGUUGAAAUGAAUUUACCAAAAUGCAAACUAUAUCAUAUUUCUGUGUUGUACCUGCCCAUCAUCAUGACUGUGGCUUGUGGGUUUGUUCCUGGCGACCUGGAUAGGGUUGAUCCGUCAAUCACCCGGAGGCCUGAGGUCCCAAUCACUUUGUACUGCUGGUCAACCACCUUGCCUACAUGGCAUCCACCAUGGUAAUGCCAGAUGGUGACCACUGUAUCCCUGCAAAACUGCUCCAAGGAUGUGCUGUCAUUUGUAUGCUUCGGUAUCAGGUUUAUGUUAGCUGCUACACUCAUGUUGAGCAGUUUUUCCAUUGAAUAUCCACCUUCUUUGGGAGUGAAAUUAGAGAAAGUGUUUGUACUAAUUAUUUUCUCUAUGGUCUUGAUCCCGUAAACACAUCGUCUCAGAUCCUGUGGAUGUUUGAAGUAGUUGAAGGUGACGAUAGGAUUGCUGUUGGGAUCAGUGUCCACAAGAACUAGAUUGCCAGUAGACAGUGGGCCAUCAAUCUUCGAAAGAAUGAACCCUCCAUGGAAUACUUCUUUGGGCAGGCUCUUUUUGUUACGUACAUACUUAUGGACUGCUUCUAAACUUCUUUCCUUUGGAGGAAUUGUCGACAACUGCCCAAUCUGCAUUAGAAUGCCAAAAUGUCAUAAGCAUGAAAACUGUCAUGGUUCUAAAAAGGGAAGUGGACAUAUGCUUAAGUUUUUCUGAGACACUUCACUCUGAUUGUACAAUUGAACUUUCAACAAUAACUUUGAAAGAUAACUCUAGUUUAUAACAUUGAUGAUAAGGAAUUCAGUAAUUUUUAUCAUGUGAUACGAAUAGGAAUGUAGGUAGUUGCGAAUGAGUGUAGCAGCUGCAUAAUUUGAUUCUUACCUACAUGUUAGUAUAUAUUUCUGAUUUGUCUAUAUGCUUAUCUUGGGUACCUGCAAACUAAAGCUUAACAGAUAAAGCUUGGGAAGUUGGCUCCAAAGAGCCCAUUUUAGGGUGCAUAUUUUUUUAGAUUGCUCGUGCAAGAUGCAUUGUUUUGCGCAAAAGCUUUUGUGAUGCACCAUGAUACUUUUGUAAACUGAAAUGCACUACCAUCAUACUUUCAUGAACUGAAAUGCACCAUGAUACUUGUAAACUGUAAUUAAGUCCUUGAAUUUUAUUUCAGGUAACAAUCAUGAUUGAUGACAAACCUCAGCAGACAUGAUUCCAUGGUGGCAGUGAAUGCUGUCCCCUGUCUGGCCGAAACCGCUGCUGGCUUCGAUAAACACA
rnacentral:lncRNA from 1 species